rnacentral:rRNA from 1 species
GAGUUUGAUCCUGGCUCAGGAUGAACGCUGGCGGCAUGCCUAAUACAUGCAAGUCGAACGAGGGUCCUUCGGGACUCGAGUGGCGAACGGGUGAGUAACACGUAGGGAACCUGCCCGUGCGACCGGGAGAACUUUCGGAAACGGAAGCUGAUACCGGAUAGGGACAGAGACGGCAUCGACUCUGUGUUAAAGGAGCUGAAAGGCUCCGCGCACGGAUGGACCUGCGGUGCAUUAGCUAGUUGGUGAGGUAACGGCCCACCAAGGCGACGAUGCAUAGCCGGCCUGAGAGGGCGGACGGCCACACUGGGACUGAGACACGGCCCAGACUCCUACGGGAGGCAGCAGUAGGGAAUUUUCGUCAAUGGGCGCAAGCCUGAACGAGCAAUGCCGCGUGAACGAGGAAGGUCUUCGGAUCGUAAAGUUCUGUUGAAGGGGAAAAAGAGCGGAGAGAGGAAAUGAACUCCGAUUGAUAUUACCCUUCGAGGAAGUCACGGCUAACUACGUGCCAGCAGCCGCGGUAAUACAUAGGUGGCGAGCGUUAUCCGGAAUGAUUGGGCGUAAAGGGUGCGUAGGCGGCCUGCUAAGUCUGGAGUGAAAGGUACCGGCUCAACCGGUACAGGCUCUGGAAACUGGCGGGCUAGAGAGCAGGAGAGGGCGGUGGAACUCCAUGUGUAGCGGUAAAAUGCGUAGAUAUAUGGAAGAACACCAGUGGCGAAGGCGGCCGCCUGGCCUGUUACUGACGCUGAGGCACGAAAGCGUGGGGAGCAAAUAGGAUUAGAUACCCUAGUAGUCCACGCCGUAAACGAUGAGGACCAAGUGUUGGGGAAGACCCAGUGCUGCAGUUAACGCAGUGAGUCCUCCGCCUGGGGAGUAUGCACGCAAGUGUGAAACUCAAAGGAAUUGACGGGGGCCCGCACAAGCGGUGGAGUAUGUGGUUUAAUUCGAAGCAACGCGAAGAACCUUACCAGGCCUUGACAUAGGGUGCGAAGCUAUGGAGACAUAGUGGAGGUAAACAUCCAUACAGGUGGUGCAUGGUUGUCGUCAGCUCGUGUCGUGAGAUGUUCAGUUAAGUCUGGCAACGAGCGCAACCCUCGUGAUGUGUUACCAAUAUCGAGUUAGGGACUCACAUCAGACUGCCGGUGAGAAACCGGAGGAAGGCGGGGAUGACGUCAAAUCAUCAUGCCCCUUAUGGCCUGGGCUACACACGUACUACAAUGGCGGCGACAGAGGGCAGCGAGCCUGCGAAGGCAAGCGAAUCCCCAAAAAGCCGUCCCAGUUCGGAUUGGAGUCUGCAACCCGACUCCAUGAAGUUGGAAUCGCUAGUAAUCGCGGAUCAGCAUGCCGCGGUGAAUACGUUCUCGGGCCUUGCACACACCGCCCGUCAA